UACGAAGGGAGGCUAGCGUUGUUCGGAUUUACUGGGCGUAAAGCGCACGUAGGCGGAUUGUUAAGUCAGGGGUGAAAUCCCAGAGCUCAACUCUGGAACUGCCUUUGAUUACUGAAGAUCUUGAGUUCGGGAGAGGUGAGUGGAACUGCGAGUGUAGAGGUGAAAUUCGUAGAUAUUCGCAAGAACACCAGUGGCGAAGGCGGCUCACUGGCCCGAUACUGACGCUGAGGCACGAAAGCGUGGGGAGCAAACAGG
rnacentral:rRNA from 1 species